rnacentral:rRNA from 1 species
AGAGUUUGAUCAUGGCUCAGGACGAACGCUGGCGGCGCGCCUCAUACAUGCAAGUCGAGCGUGAAGCGGGACUUCGGUCCCGUGGAAAGCGGCGAACGGGUGCGUAACACGUGAGCAACCUGCCCCGAAGACUGGAAUAACCCGGGGAAACCCGGGCUAAUACCGGAUGUCCUCCUCCGAUCGCAUGGUUGGAAGAGGAAAUGUUCAGGCGCUUCGGGAUGGGCUCGCGGUCUAUCAGCUUGUUGGUGGGGUAACGGCCUACCAAGGCGACGACGGAUAGCUGGUCUGAGAGGACGAUCAGCCACACUGGGACUGAGACACGGCCCAGACUCCUACGGGAGGCAGCAGUAGGGAAUCUUGCGCAAUGAGGGAAACCUUGACGCAGCGACGCCGCGUGCGGGAUGAAUGCCUUCGGGUUGUAAACCGCUUUCAGCAGGGACGAAAUUGACGGUACCUGCAGAAGAAGGCCCGGCCAACUACGUGCCAGCAGCCGCGGUA